rnacentral:rRNA from 1 species
AGAAUCAACGCUGGCGGCGUGCCUAACACAUGCAAGUCGCACGAGAAAGUGGAGCAAUCCAUGAGUAAAGUGGCGCACGGGUGAGUAACACGUGACUAACCUACCCUUGAGUGGGGGAUAACCUAGGGAAACCUGGGCUAAUACCGCAUAAUACCUUCGGGUCAAAGGAGCAAUUCGCUUAAGGAGGGGGUCGCGGCCGAUUAGUUAGUUGGCGGGGUAAUGGCCCACCAAGACUGUGAUCGGUA